GGCGUAAGGGCUCGCAGGCGGUUUCUUAAGUCUGAUGUGAAAGCCCCCGGCUCAACCGGGGAGGGUCAUUGGAAACUGGGAAACUUGAGUGCAGAAGAGGAGAGUGGAAUUCCACGUGUAGCGGUGAAAUGCGUAGAGAUGUGGAGGAACACCAGUGGCGAAGGCGACUCUCUGGUCUGUAACUGACGCUGAGGAGCGAAAGCGUGGGGAGCGAACAGGAUUAGAUACCCUGGUAGUCCACGCCGUAAACGAUGAGUGCUAAGUGUUAGGGGGUUUCCGCCCCUUAGUGCUGCAGCUAACGCAUUAAGCACUCCGCCUGGGGAGUACGGUCGCAAGACUGAAACUCAAAGGAAUUGACGGGGGCCCGCACAAGCGGUGGAGCAUGUGGUUUAAUUCGAAGCAACGCGAAGAACCUUACCAGGUCUUGACAUCCUCUGACAACCCUAGAGAUAGGGCUUUCCCUUCGGGGACAGAGUGACAGGUGGUGCAUGGUUGUCGUCAGCUCGUGUCGUGAGAUGUUGGGUUAAGUCCCGCAACGAGCGCAACCCUUGAUCUUAGUUGCCAGCAUUCAGUUGGGCACUCUAAGGUGACUGCCGGUGACAAACCGGAGGAAGGUGGGGAUGACGUCNAAUCAUCAUGCCCCUUAUGACCUGGGCUACACACGUGCUACAAUGG
rnacentral:rRNA from 1 species